rnacentral:lncRNA from 1 species
UGGCGGCCAUUUUGGCUGUUGCUAAUGUUGUUUCUGCUGAUCCUUAUGUAUAUGCUUCUCCACCUCCACCACCUUACGAGUACAAGUCGCCACCCCCUCCUUCUCCCUCUCCACCACCGCCUUAUGAGUACAAGUCGCCACCACCUCCUUCUCCAUCUCCUCCACCGCCAUAUGAAUACAAGUCGCCACCACCUCCUUCACCAUCACCUCCACCACCAUACUACUACUCUUCCCCACCACCUCCGAAGAAGUCACCUCCACCACCAUACUACUACUCCUCUCCACCACCACCCGAGAAGUCACCUCCUCCACCAUACUACUACUCCUCUCCUCCACCCCCGGAGAAGUCACCUCCACCACCUUACUACUACUCUUCUCCACCACCCCCCAAGAAGUCACCUCCACCUCCAUACUACUAUAGUUCUCCACCACCACCCGAGAAGUCACCUCCACCACCUUACUACUAUUCUUCUCCUCCACCACCCGAGAAGUCACCUCCACCACCAUACUACUACUACUCUCCUCCACCACCCAAGAAGUCACCUCCACCUCCAUACUACUACAGUUCUCCACCACCACCAGUUAAGUAUCCUCCUCCACCAUACUACUACCCUUCUCCACCACCACCCAAGGAAUCACCUCCUCCACCAUACUACUACUCCUCACCACCACCACCCAAGAAGUCACCCCCACCCCCAUACUACUACUCCUCUCCUCCACCACCAGUUAAAUAUCCUCCUCCACCAUACUACUACUCUUCCCCACCACCACCAGUUAAGUACCCUCCUCCACCAUAUUACUACACUUCUCCUCCACCACCUACUCCUUACUAUCCUCCUCAUCACCCCUUGAUUGUUAAGGUUGUAGGAAAAGUCUACUGCUACAGAUGUUAUGACUGGAAAUACCCAAAGAAAUCCCAUGACAA